GAUGAACGCUGGCGGCGUGCUUAACACAUGCAAGUCGAACGGUGAAGGCGGAGCUUGCUCUGCUGGAUCAGUGGCGAACGGGUGAGUAACACGUGAGCAAUCUGCCCCUGACUCUGGGAUAAGCGCUGGAAACGGCGUCUAAUACUGGAUACGAGCGGCGAAGGCAUCUUCAGCAGCUGGAAAGAAUUUCGGUCAGGGAUGAGCUCGCGGCCUAUCAGCUUGUUGGUGAGGUAAUGGCUCACCAAGGCGUCGACGGGUAGCCGGCCUGAGAGGGUGACCGGCCACACUGGGACUGAGACACGGCCCAGACUCCUACGGGAGGCAGCAGUGGGGAAUAUUGCACAAUGGGCGAAAGCCUGAUGCAGCAACGCCGCGUGAGGGACGACGGCCUUCGGGUUGUAAACCUCUUUUAGCAGGGAAGAAGCGAAAGUGACGGUACCUGCAGAAAAAGCGCCGGCUAACUACGUG
rnacentral:rRNA from 1 species